CAGCAGCCGCGGGAAUACGUAGGGUGCAAGCGUUAAUCGGAAUUACUGGGCGUAAAGCGCACGCAGGCGGUUUGUUAAGUCAGAUGUGAAAUCCCCGAGCUUAACUUGGGAACUGCAUUUGAAACUGGCAAGCUAGAGUCUUGUAGAGGGGGGUAGAAUUCCAGGUGUAGCGGUGAAAUGCGUAGAGAUCUGGAGGAAUACCGGUGGCGAAGGCGGCCCCCUGGACAAAGACUGACGCUCAGGUGCGAAAGCGUGGGGAGCAAACAGGAUUAGAUACCCCUGUAGUCCCUGUCUCUUAUAC
rnacentral:rRNA from 1 species